rnacentral:rRNA from 1 species
GACGAACGCUGGCGGCGUGCUUAACACAUGCAAGUCGAACGGAGUGGCGAACGGGUGAGUAACACGUGGGUGAUCUGCCUUGCACUUUGGGAUAAGCUAGGGAAACUGGGUCUAAUACAGGCAAGUGCAAGAUGAGCUCGGGGCCUAUCAGCUUGUCGGUGGGGUAAUGGCCUACCAAGGCGUCGACGAGUAGCCGGCCUGAGAGGGUGUACGGCCACAUUUGGACUGAGAUACGGCCCAGACUCCUACGGGCGGGAGCAGUGAGGAAUAUUGCACAAUGGGCGGAAGGCUGAUGCGGCGUCGCCGCGUGGGGGUUGAAGGCCUUCGGGUUGUAACCUCCUUUCGGCAGGGAGGCGGUACCUGGAUAAGAAGCACCGGCUAACUACGUGCCAGCAGCCGCGGUAAUAC